rnacentral:rRNA from 1 species
UACAGAGGUCUCAAGCGUUUGUUCGGAUUCAUUGGGCGUAAAGGGUGCGUAGGCGGCGCGGUAAGUCGGGUGUGAAAUCUCGGGGCUUAACUCCGAAACUGCAUUCGAUACUGCCGUGCUUGAGGACUGGAGAGGAGACUGGAAUUUACGGUGUAGCGGUGAAAUGCGUAGAUAUCGUAAGGAAGACCAGUGGCGAAGGCGGGUCUCUGGACAGUUCCUGACGCUGAGGCACGAAGGUCAGGGGAGCAAACGGGG